rnacentral:lncRNA from 1 species
UUUCAAAGAGAUGCUCGCAUUCUAUACUGAUGCCAUCUAGGAGUGUAAAUGCCCCAUGUCACACUGCUGAGUGGAGAAAGCUGUUCCAGUGCCUGUGUAAAACCAAGGCCUGCAUCUUCAUGAUCUGCCCACUGAGGUUUUCAAUUGCUGCUUACUCAGGGGCCCACCUCUCCAUCACAGGAAAGAGUAGCUGUCCCCAGGAACAUAACCACCGAGUGACAAGACUUCUACAGAAGUAAGAAUUGACUUCUUGUCCAGUUCAGCACACUGACAUCCAUCAGCUCAAUAUCCCACUGGCACUUGUGGAAGAAGAUUACAAAAUGGAGUCACAUGCAUCAAGAGUACCUUAAAUGGACCCAGGAAGCCAUCAGGGAAGUGCGGCAUAUGCGCCUCUUUACCCAGAGAGUAUGUAAACUUUUGAAUUAUGCUUCACUGCUGGCAUCCUGACCUUCAUUCAAGACAUAUGCUUUCUUGGGGCCAGGCUGGUAGCACCUCAGGAACAGAGAAUGAAAUAACUAUGGCUGAGCUGUCAAAGCCCCUGGCAGUGUGUUUCUCCACUCCCUCCACGACUGCCUCUCUCCAAGCAUACAGCAUUUCCUCCGUGAACGAACUUACCCUCAGCCUUCCUCAGAGGCCUUCACUGUUGAACCAGUCCUCAGGGUGCCCAUCGUCUUUCCUCUGGUGUGUCAAACAAAGUGUCGGUUGCUGAGUCAUGUCAGUUUAUCGUCAAAGGAUAAGUCUAUAAAGCCAAACAUGAUCAUGCUUCAUAA